rnacentral:rRNA from 1 species
UACGUAGGGUGCAAGCGUUGUCCGGAAUUAUUGGGCGUAAAGAGCCCGUAGGCGGUUCGUCGCGUCGGCUGUGAAAACCCGGAGCUCAACUCCGGGCCUGCAGUCGAUACGGGCGGACUCGAGUUCGGCAGGGGAGACUGGAAUUCCUGGUGUAGCGGUGAAAUGCGCAGAUAUCAGGAGGAACACCGGUGGCGAAGGCGGGUCUCUGGGCCGAUACUGACGCUGAGGAGCGAAAGCGUGGGGAGCGAACAGG